CGAACGUGAAGGUUGAGAUGAUUACUUCGGUUUGAUUCUCGGCUGGAAAGUGGCGAACGGGUGAGUAACACGUAGGUGACCUGCCUCGAAGUGGGGGACAACCAUUGGAAACGAUGGCUAAUACCGCAUUGUCCCAUUUGUGCGGGAACACAGAUGGGUAAAGCUCUGGCGCUUCGAGAGUGGGCCUGCGUCCGAUUAGCUAGUUGGUGGGGUAAUGGCCUACCAAGGCGACGAUCGGUAGCUGGUCUGAGAGGACGAUCAGUCACACGGGAACUGAGACACGGUCCCGACUCCUACGGGGGGCAGCAGUGAGGAAU
rnacentral:rRNA from 1 species